CCGGCACGGGUGAGUAACACGUAUCCAACCUGCCGUCUACUCUUGGACAGCCUUCUGAAAGGAAGAUUAAUACAAGAUGGCGUCAUGAGUUCACAUGUUCACAUGAUUAAAGGUAUUCCGGUAGACGAUGGGGAUGCGUUCCAUUAGAUAGUAGGCGGGGUAACGGCCCACCUAGUCUUCGAUGGAUAGGGGUUCUGAGAGGAAGGUCCCCCACAUUGGAACUGAGACACGGUCCAA
rnacentral:rRNA from 1 species